CUUCCGCCUAAAUUUUUUCCUUCGCUGUUUUUUUGUUUCGCAAGAUGUCGUUUAGAUAAAUGAAAUAUGAUAUUGAACAGUUUAUGCGCUUUUGAAACUGACACUGUGAAACCGAAUACUUUCCCAUAUAAGAGUUAUCUCCCCGAACACUGUUUUUCUUGUUAUCGAAUAAUCUUCAUACCCGUAUAAGAAACCGACAAAUU
rnacentral:lncRNA from 1 species